rnacentral:tRNA from 1 species
GUGGCUGUAGCUCAGUUGGUUAGAGCGAAGGAUUGUGGUUCCUUAGGCCGUGGGUUCGAUUCCCAUCAGCCACCCA